rnacentral:tRNA from 2 species
GGCUCCGUGGUCAAACGGCUAAGACACUACCCUUUCACGGUAGUAACGCGGGUUCGAUUCCCGCCGGAGUCA